CAGUUUGGGUGCUCUUCCUGCUUCACUACAGCGUGCUGUCUAACUUGAAUAAACUGAGACUUUUGAAGCAGUUUGCCUCACAUGCUGUGAAGAGGGCACAAGUUAGAUACACAGAAUCACUGAGGUAGGUACAGACCUCUGGAGAAGUCCUGGUUCAGCCUCCUGCUCAGUCCAGGGCCAACUCUGAAGCUGCAUCUAACUUCACGGUAAGAUAAGGAUACUCAGGCCUAAAUGUAAGAAAACAAGUUUGAAAGACCACUGAGGAAAGUAACGACUUCAGGUAUAGGCACCCAACAGAAGAGAUCUGGACUGUGUAAACCCAAGGCCAAGAAAGAGGAAGAAACACAUUUUCAUGCAGUAUAAGGUAACAAACAUGACCAUAUUCCAGCAUAUACCUUGUUAGACCUUCUGGGAGUCUGAAGCAGCAAGACAUGACAUCCUAAUUUCAACCACUGUGAGAUGGAAGCCAUUCACAUUGAGACUGCAUGUUCCUGUUUUGGAACAGAUGGAGUGAGUAACAGUGAAUA
rnacentral:lncRNA from 1 species